rnacentral:lncRNA from 1 species
AGUCCGCCCUGCAUUUACUCUCUGAGGUGUUAAAUGUGCAGAGCUUGAUGUGUUUUUCUUUCAAGGUGUUAAAUGUGCAGAGCUUGGUAGGACACUCCCGUAUACGUGGCACUUCGGCAGGUAGAGGCAGUCCAGCAGGUAACCGCUUGAGACAGAAGAGCCCUCCAGUCUAAACCUUCCAGAAGCAAAGAUGGAACAAGCCAGCCUCGCCACAAAAACAUCCAGCAAUGUAAGUCAGGGUUUGCUCUUGGAACAUAGUCUCCUGAGUGGUUAUCAUUAUAUUAUGUGUGUGCGUGUGUGUGUGUGUGUGUGUGUGUGUGUGUGUGUGUGUGUGUGUGUUACUAUUUAAGGCUCUGUUGAGAGCACGCUUUACACAAAUGAAGAACUAUAAUUUGCAAGUCAGUUUUAGAAUAUUACUAUCAAAAUUACAAUAAAAUAAGAACUGUUAUUAAUUAAAGAAAAAAUGUAGAAACUUGCCCAAAAGGGGAGAUACUACGAUCGCCGAGGUGUUUUUUCUGGCAUGAGGCUCCUCCACUGCACUCCACAUAUGCUGACCCUUAUCAUUUUCCUAAAUUCGAAAAACUACAUAAUUUGUAGUAGCUGGGGGCUGUGUUUCCUCUUCUCCCUUAUUUUUGUGUUGAAAACUAAAGAAACAAACAACUUAGUCAAUCCUGAGAAGUUAAAAAAUGAAAUAUAAUGCUUAAAUUUGUAUCUUCAAAAUAUCUACUAUAAAGGAAGAUCAAUACAGCAAACGGAACUGUGUGGAGAUUUACAGGCUAAACUGAAUACAUGCUAUAGGGUGGGAGAGGUCACUUGUAAAGGCAAAUUAAAUGAUGUAGGUCAUAUUUCAAUAGGACAGACUUUGGUUAGAAAAAUAAAAUGGAUAAUGAUUCUUGUUUUACUUCCAAGGUAAUGUUCAUGUUCUCUAACAACAUUCUUUGCAUGACAGAUUAUAAUCUUCUCUAAGUAAGUAAUUAAUAUUAGAAACUGUAAUGCAGACAUUUAAUUCAGAGAACAGAAUUGGAUUUCAUGAACCAACAUUAAUACGCUGUGACAUUUUAAAUACAGAUAAAUCAACUAAGAAUUCCAAUCAGCUCUCUGGAGCUAAAAGAAUGUGUAAUACCCCUGUAUAUGUGCACAUUUAAAUAUACAAUACACAUAUAUGUAUAGAUGUGAACUCAUCUCCCAUUAUAACAUUUUAUUUCAAUUUUUAUCUAAAUCAGACAGAUGUAAAAUAUAGAUGUGAUUGUUUCCAAUGAGUAAGUAGAUUAUUUCACCUCAAACAGACAUUAGCAAGAUGGUUGGUUGGACAGUGAAUGCAAACUGAACGCCUCAUCUCACCUGUUUGUAGCUCAUUAACAGUCAAACUACUUUAUGACUUCAUUUCUGUAUGCAUAUAGGUCAUCAGAUGCCGGGCAGCUGUUGCCUGGACCACUAAUGCCCCGCUGUCCAUUGAGGAGGUUGAAGUUGAUCCACCAAAGGCUGGUGAGGUUCGAGUUAAGAUUAUAGCCUCUGGGAUCUGUGGCACUGAUAAUCAUACCUUAGAAGGGAAAAUGAAAACGCCAUUUCCUGUCAUCCUGGGCCACGAGGGAGCUGGAGUUGUGGAGAGUGUUGGACCAGGUGUAACCACUGUAAAGCCAGGUGGGUAACGAGGCAUGAUACUGAUGCUAUCUAGGGGUGCAGGAAUGGGUUCAGCUUCUCUGACAAUUAAAACAUUAACAGUCAGGAGAACGGUGCUCCCAGAAAUCUCGGGGAGUCCCAGCAGAGCCGUCAUGUGAUACCUGAGAAGUCAGGGUCCCUCUGGAUAUGUUUAGUUUUAUUAUCAGAAAAAAUUCAAGAGCAAUCGCAAGCAAGCAUGGGGACAAAGAUUGGACUCAAAUGGAAGUGUGAAGACAGUUUAUUGGAGCCUAAAAGGGAAACCGCAGGUCAGGCAAGCUGGGAGGGAGAGGAGGAGUGGAGAAGAGAAGGAACAAAAGUCAGUUUGCUUGUGCUGAGGCCGUCUGGAGGUCAGCCUCCUGGUCGCAAGUCAAGGAGGAACGCUUUAGGAUAAAGAGCAGGGAACCCUAACGCAUUAAAGUAUCGAGUGCAUGAGCAUGUAUAGGCUAUGGGUGGCCAGCAUCUGAGAGAAAAAGAAGAAAUAGUCAGGUCUUCCUAGGCUGGCCUCAGACCCCAAGUCUCAGGAUGGGUUAGCUGGUAGGGAUAGCAUUAUCUUUCAGGCCUUCUGGAGAGGAAAAGCAUAUUACCUUUGGGUGAACCUUUGGGUGCCCUGUGUAUUAGCUCUUGUAGGAUCAGACAAGGGCCUAUCUCUGUAUAGAGGCAGAUUCCAUUCUUUACAAUAUAGCCCCAGUUCCUUUCCUAAUUCCUACUCUGAUUCUUCCCCCAAGGUAAAAUAAAGAUCUCAGAACUCAAGCCAGGUGUGGUGGUGCAUGCCUUUGAUCCCAGCUCUUGGGAGGCAGAAGCAGGCAGAUCUCUAAGUGUUAGAGGCUAGCCUGGUCUACAGAGUGAGUACCAGGACAGCCAGGGCUAAAAUCCAAAAACAAAACAAAAC